CACGUAGGGUGCGAGCGUUGUCCGGAAUUAUUGGGCGUAAAGAGCUCGUAGGCGGUGUGUCGCGUCGGCCGUGAAAACUUGCAGCUUAACUGUGGGCGUGCGGGCGAUACGGGCAGACUGGAGUACUGCAGGGGAGACUGGAAUUCCUGGUGUAGCGGUGGAAUGCGCAGAUAUCAGGAGGAACACCGGUGGCGAAGGCGGGUCUCUGGGCAGUAACUGACGCUGAGGAGCGAAAGCGUGGGGAGCGAACAGG
rnacentral:rRNA from 1 species